AAAAAGGCAAACCCUGGGUUUUCUUGUCCAACUUUGACUGGCCGUCUUAUAUGAAAUUUUUUUAUAAUUCAUAUUUUCAUUGUUAUUAGAUGAUAAAACAUGAUUAAUAUUUUAUACGUGACUUGUCUUUUUAAUUUUUUUUCUUAAUUUUUUCAAAUAAGACGGAUGGUCAAACGUUGGGCACGGAAAUAAAGGUUUGUCUUUUUU
rfam:Oryza glaberrima chromosome 10 Oglab10_0084_15, whole genome shotgun sequence.